UUUAUCAGUGGUUUCCACUUUUGCUUCUUGCUCAUUUUGCUCUUGUAGCUGCCAUGUAAAAAGGGCUUUCACCUCCCACUAUGGUUUUCCCCUGCCGUGUGGAACUGAAAAGAAAACUAUGGAACUGACAAUUCUCGUUUGAAAUGUGUCACUGAAAAACCAACAAAUUCAGGUUUGCAGCAUUAAAAAUAGUUUAGCCUUCUCAUUGCCCCUUUAUGAGUGUUGAAAACUGAAGAAGAGGGAGGACUCAAGAUGGUGCUGUGAGAACAACCCAGGAUUGAAGCUCUCAGUCAAUCCGUGGAGAGGAACUGCCUUCAUUCACAACUAUCCUCAAGGAAAUAAAUACUAAAAUCUGGCUUACCUGUUCAGAAGUUACCAACUCCUGCCAGAAGAAAAAAGAAAAAAUAAUAAUUAGAGAAAAUGGCAGUUUGAUUGGAAAUGAUAUGUGAGUGUUAUCUUUUUCAUUUCACCUCUUCUUCCCCUAUAAAUUAAUCUGGAAUAAUUCUUCUCAUUCUGAAUAUAUUUUUCUCUCCUACUUUUUCUCCCAUCCUUGCAUAAGGCUCUGGAAAUGAUUUUCAAUGUGCAAUUAGAAUGGUGCUCCGGAGCUUAUGGUCUUAUUCAAUCCUCCUAAGAAUCUUGUGAAAUAA
rnacentral:lncRNA from 13 species